CCUACGGGAGGCUGCAGUGGGGAAUAUUGCACAAUGGGGGAAACCCUGAUGCAGCGACGCCGCGUGAAGGAAGAAGUAUUUCGGUAUGUAAACUUCUAUCAGCAGGGAAGAAAAUGACGGUACCUGACUAAGAAGCCCCGGCUAACUACGUGCCAGCAGCCGCGGUAAUACGUAGGGGGCAAGCGUUAUCCGGAUUUACUGGGUGUAAAGGGAGCGUAGGCGGUUUAGCAAGUCAGAAGUGAAAGCCCGGGGCUCAACUCCGGGAUUGCUUUUGAAACUGUUGAACUAGAGUGCAGGAGAGGUAAGUGGAAUUCCUAGUGUAGCGGUGAAAUGCGUAGAUAUUAGGAGGAACACCAGUGGCGAAGGCGGCUUACUGGACUGUAAAUGACGCCGAGGCUCGAAAGCGUGGGGAGCAAACAGGAUUAGAUACCCUUGUAGUC
rnacentral:rRNA from 1 species